rnacentral:rRNA from 1 species
CCUACGGGAGGCAGCAGUGGGGAAUAUUGCACAAUGGGGGAAACCCUGAUGCAGCGACGCCGCGUGAGUGAAGAAGGAUUUCGGGAUGGAAAGCUCUAUCAGCAGGGAAGAAAAUGACGGUACCUGAUCAAGAAGCCCCGGCUAACUCCGUGCCAGCAGCCGCGGCAAUACGCAGGGGGCAAGCGUUAUCCGGAUUGACUGGGGGUAAAGGGAGCGUAGACGGCUGGUCAAGUCUGGUGUGAAAGGCCGGGGCUUAACCCCGGAACUGCUUUGGAUACUGUGGAGCUGGAGUGCAGGAGAGGUAAGUGGAAUUCCUGGUGUAGCGGUGAACUGCGUAGAUAUUAGGAGGAACACCAGUGGCGAAGGCGGCUUACUGGACUGUAACUGACGUUGAGGCUCGAAAGCGUGGGGAGCAAACAGGAUUAGAUACCCCAGUAGUC